rnacentral:SRP_RNA from 1 species
CGAUAGGGUCCCAUACAAUGUAUACUUGUGAAUCGUGUCAGGUCUUGACGGAAGCAGCACUAAGCAAGUUCAUGCGUGUGUUAUGGGGGUGCCUUAUCUGAGU